GGAAGAGAUGAGGAAAGCAAUUGAAGAAGAGGUGAACAAAUUAAAAGAGGUCGGAUUCGUCAGAGAGGUAACCUACUGUUGACGGAUUGGCAAGUGUACCAAAUCGUACAAGUAAUAUAAAUGGUAAGACCGAGUAUCGUUUUCCCAAGAGACUCGAAUGGCUUUCUCGUUCGCGUGAAUUAAAAUAAUAAGACUUGAAAAUAAAAAUUAAUAAAUUGGAUUUGAGAACACAAAUAUUAACAUGCAAAAUAAAGUUGAUUCAAUUGACAAAAGAAAACAAUGGAUGAAUGGAUGUUGUUGGGGGUUUACAAUUUCAUCUAAUCUGCUCUCUCUUACCUACUCCUCUUGAAUAUUAGUUUGAUUAAUUAAUUGUUAUGCGACUUUCUUAGCCUCCCCUUAACCCGAUCCCUCGGCGACUUUCUUAGCCUCCCCUUAACCUGAUCCCAUUAACUACUGGCUUGCUAUCUCUAGCCUCCCCUAGCAAUUAAUACCGCAUUAUAAACAGAAGUUAGCGCAAUUGAUCGUCCUACCCAUAUCCCUAGGUGGUAUUGCAAAAUCAAGAAAUUACUCACCAGUUCAUGUCAUUACUGUACGUCCCCAU
rnacentral:lncRNA from 1 species